ensembl:lncRNA
UAACAGUAUACAGGGCUGCCUUGCUCUUCAAGAUGAGUUAGCGCUCCCUUGCCUUCACCUCUCACUGCCUGGCUGGGAAAGCCACUGGACCAAAAAGCAGGGCAAGAAAUAAAUUCAUUCAUGGCAAAAGGCACAGGCAACUGGCCAGGCAGCCGCUGGUGUGAUGUCUACGUAGCACCGCGCCAUGGAGACGAGGCAGGGGAUUCCUGAGGUAACAAGGCUGAAGCUCAAGAGUGGAGCGGCGCUGGAUGGUGCCAGUUUUGCCCAUGAUGCAAGAGGUGGGAUUUCUGGGAGAAAUGGAAUAUUCCAUUUCCAUCCAUUCCCUUCCAUCCACGUGGGAUGAACCCGAUCAUCCACCUCAUUCAGCAUCCCCUUUCCGAAGUGACCAGCACCAGUGCUCCAGGGGAAGCUGUCAGAGCCCAGAGGGGGCAGGUAUGGAAUAAGCA